rnacentral:rRNA from 1 species
UACGAAGGGGGCUAGCGUUGCUCGGAAUCACUGGGCGUAAAGCGUGCGCAGGCGGUCUUGCAAGACAGGUGUGAAAUCCCCGGGCUUAACCUGGGAACUGCACUUGUGACUGCAAGGCUGGAGUACGGCAGAGGGGGAUGGAAUUCCGCGUGUAGCAGUGAAAUGCGUAGAUAUGCGGAGGAACACCGAUGGCGAAGGCAAUCCCCUGGGCCUGUACUGACGCUCAUGCACGAAAGCGUGGGGAGCAAACAGG